rnacentral:rRNA from 1 species
AACGUAGGACACAAGCGUUAUCCGGAGUUACUGGGCGUAAAGGGUGCGUAGGCGGGUCUUUAAGUCAGGGGUGAAAUCCUGGAGCUCAACUCCAGAACUGCCUUUGAUACUGAAGAUCUUGAGUUCGGGAGAGGUGAGUGGAACUGCGAGUGUAGAGGUGAAAUUCGUAGAUAUUCGCAAGAACACCAGUGGCGAAGGCGGCUCACUGGCCCGGUACUGACGCUGAGGCACGAAAGCGUGGGGAGCAAACAGGAGUUAGA